rnacentral:lncRNA from 1 species
GUCACCGAGCUAUACUUAAUAAAUGGUUGGACAUUGACAAUUAAGUUAGGUGCUAUAAAUUGGACUUCAUAGUUGAUGAAAUCCAAUGUAUGCAUAAGGAUAUGUAGACUGCCAAUAACAUACUGAUUCAUCUGUAAUAGUUGUGAGAUGAUCAGAGUCGCACAGUGCAUGAGAUGCAUGAUGGGCAGUUUAUCCAUGAU